GGCCAGUACGGCUGUCCUGCUGGCCACCCGCAUUUGGAAGGCACGGAAGCACCUCAGGAGCCGGGCCAGGGGGAUGCGGUGCUGCCGAGCGGCCCCGGGGGCUCCCGGUUCCCCCCCGGCUGAGGAGAGCCCUUGCCACGGCCCGGCUGCCCCGGAGAGCCCCCUGUACAUCCCCUGCGGCUGCGGCCCCUGCUGCACCCCCUGUGCGACCGCGGCCCGGGAACUGCAGGACCUGGUGACACCGCUGUGGCCCGAGGUGUCCUUCCCGCAGGACUCGGAGAUGUGGCAGCUGUUGUGGGAGGACCUGGGGCAGCUGCUGGAGCAAGGCCCUCUGCCCUGCUGCACCUCCUCCAGCUCCUCUGGGAGCCCCCAGCCCUACAGGUGCCUCAGUGAGAGCUGCCAGGCUCCGGCUGGAGAAGGCCUCGUGGACGGAUCUCGCUGCUCCCUUGCAGAUGCGGGCGUGAGGAGAAACUGCUCGUCCUUGAGGAUGCACAUGGCCAGGAAGAGCCUGGAAGUGAAGCUGAGCGCCCAGCCCAGGCCAGUGAGGCGCUCCCAGGAGCAGCUGGUGCAGCGGGAGGCGUCGCCCCCUUCCUCCGAGAGCCUCUCCCGCUCCGGGAGCCCCAGCAGGAGCUGCUGGACUGCGGACGGGGAGGAUGCCUUGGACAGCUCUCUGAGCUCUUCCGGAUCUGCCAAUAUCAGCGAGGCCCGCGAGGCCCUGAGGAUGCACGUGGCCAAGAAGAGCCUGGAAGUGAAGCUGGGAGCCCGGCCUGCUCCGGUGAGGAGCUCCCAGCAGCAAGUGGCACAGUGGGAAGGGUUCCAGAGCUGCUGGUGCCGGAUCUGCAGCUCCCACAGCACUGCAGGGCGGCCAAACAGGAACACCCCGUGCUCCAGCUCAGAGAAGAUCCUCCAGAGGCAGAGGGAGUUGGAGUUCCCCUAUCUCCAGGGGGCUCCUCCAAGCAGGAUGAGGCCUCUGCUGGCAGCUCAGAUCCUUCUGAGGAUGCUCUGUUAUAAAUAAAC
rnacentral:lncRNA from 1 species